CUACGGACUUAAUUGGAUUGAGCCUUGGUAUGGAAACUUACCAAGUGAAAACUUUCAAAUUCAGAGAAACCCUGGAAUUAAAAAUGGGCAAUCCUGAGCCAAAUCCUUCUUUCCGAAAACAAAUAAAUAAAAGUUUAGAAAGUGAAAAUCAAAAAAGGAUAGGUGCAGAGACUCAAUGGAAGCUGUUCUAACAAAUGGAGUUGACAACAUUUACUCUUUCAAUAGAAUAAUCUUGAUUGAUCAAAUCAGUCACUCCACCAUAGUCUGAUGGAUCUUUUGAAUAACUGAUUAAUCAGACGAGAAUAAAGAUAGAGUCCCAUUCUACAUGUCAAUACCGACAUCAAUGAAAUUUUUAGUAAGAGGAAAAUCCGUCGACUUUAGAAAUCGUGAGGGUUCAAGUCCCUCUAUCCCCAAAAGCCCAUUUAAUUCGCUAAUUUUUUAUCCUAUAUCCCUUUUUUUUUUUAUUUAGUUGACAUAGACUCAAGUAAUUUCCUAAAAUUAGGGUGGUGUGUCAAGAAUGGUCGGGAUAGCUCAGCUGGUAGAGCAGAGGACUGAAAAUCCUCGUGUCACCAGUUCAAAUCUGGUUCCCGGCGA
rnacentral:ncRNA from 1 species